AGAGUUUGAUCCUGGCUCAGGAUGAACGCUAGCGGCAGGUUUAACACAUGCAAGUCGAGGGGCAUCGGGAGGGAAGCUUGCUUUCCUUGCCGGCGACCGGCGCACGGGUGAGUAACACGUAUGCAACCUGCCCUCUUCAGGGGGACAACCUCCCGAAAGGGAGGCUAAUCCCGCGUAUAUCGGUUUCGGGCAUCCGAGAUCGAGGAAAGAUUCAUCGGAAGAGGAUGGGCAUGCGGCGCAUUAGCUUGACGGCGGGGUAACGGCCCACCGUGGCGACGAUGCGUAGGGGUUCUGAGAGGAAGGUCCCCCACACUGGUACUGAGACACGGACCAGACUCCUACGGGAGGCAGCAGUGAGGAAUAUUGGUCAAUGGGAGAGAUCCUGAACCAGCCAAGCCGCGUGAGGGAAGACGGCCCUAUGGGUUGUAAACCUCUUUUGUCGGAGUACAAAACCCGGGACGAGUCCCGGACUGCGUGUAUCCGAAGAAAAAGCAUCGGCUAACUCCGUGCCAGCAGCCGCGGUAAUACGGAGGAUGCGAGCGUUAUCCGGAUUUAUUGGGUUUAAAGGGUGCGUAGGCGGUCCGUUAAGUCAGCGGUAAAAUUGCGGGGCUCAACCCCGUCGAGCCGUUGAAACUGGCAGACUUGAGUUGGCGAGAAGUACGCGGAAUGCGCGGUGUAGCGGUGAAAUGCAUAGAUAUCGCGCAGAACUCCGAUUGCGAAGGCAGCGUACCGGCGCCAGACUGACGCUGAGGCACGAAAGCGUGGGGAUCGAACAGGAUUAGAUACCCUGGUAGUCCACGCAGUAAACGAUGAAUGCUGGUUGUCCGGGUCGAAUGAGACCUGGGCGGCGAAGCGAAAGCGAUAAGCAUUCCACCUGGGGAGUACGCCGGCAACGGUGAAACUCAAAGGAAUUGACGGGGGCCCGCACAAGCGGAGGAACAUGUGGUUUAAUUCGAUGAUACGCGAGGAACCUUACCCGGGCUCAAACGGGAGUGGAAUGGACCAGAGACGGUUCAGCCUACGGGCCGCUUCCGAGGUGCUGCAUGGUUGUCGUCAGCUCGUGCCGUGAGGUGUCGGCUUAAGUGCCAUAACGAGCGCAACCCCCGCCGGCAGUUGCUAACGGGCAAUGCCGAGGACUCUGCCGGGACUGCCGCCGCAAGGCGUGAGGAAGGCGGGGAUGACGUCAAAUCAGCACGGCCCUUACGUCCGGGGCGACACACGUGUUACAAUGGGCGGUACAGCGGGAAGCCAGGCGGCGACGCCGAGCGGAACCCGAAAGCCGUUCUCAGUUCGGAUCGGAGUCUGCAACCCGACUCCGUGAAGCUGGAUUCGCUAGUAAUCGCGCAUCAGCCAUGGCGCGGUGAAUACGUUCCCGGGCCUUGCACACACCGCCCGUCA
rnacentral:rRNA from 1 species